GAUGAACGCUGGCGGCGUGCCUAAUACAUGCAAGUCGAGCGAACACACGAGAAGCUUGCUCCCCUGACGUUAGCGACGGACGGGCGAGUAACAAGUAGAUAACCAACUUAUAUGUCUGGGAUAAUAUCGGGAAAACAGAGCCACUAACGGCUAAUACAUUGAACCGCUUGAUUCAAUAGUGCUAGAGGGUUUUGCUGUUUGUUAUAGAUGAUUCCGGGCCGGAUUAGCUAGUUGGUAAGGUAACGGCUCACCAAGGCGACGAUGCGUAGCCGACCUGAGAGGGUGAUCGGCCACACUGGAACUGAGACACGGUCCAGACUCCUACGGGAGGCAGCAGUAGGGAAUCUUCCGCAAUGGGCGAAAGCCUGACGGAGCAACGCCGCGUGAGUGAUGAAGGUCUUCGGGUCGUAAAACUCUGUUAUUAGGGAAGAACAAAUGCGUAAGUAACUAUGCACGUCUUGACGGUACCUAAACAGAAAGCCACGGCUAACUACGUG
rnacentral:rRNA from 1 species